CUGAGGGGCCGCGGGCGUUCCCAGUGUUUGUGUGUUCCCGGUGUUCCGGUCUUUGCUGGUGUUCAGGUGUUCCCGGUGUUCCGGUCUUUGCUGGUGUUCAGGUGUUCCCCGUGUCCCGGUCAUCGCCGGUGUUCGGGUGUUCCCGGUCAUUCUCGGUUUCCUCCAUGAGUGGAUAUGUGGGCUCCACUUGCCUCCCCGCGCGUUCACGCAGCCCCCGGUGCUAACAAGUCGCCCCUGCUUAAUCACUGAUAAAGGAGAACAUAAUUUGCUUAUAAAAGCUGUGGUCAGGGACCACCCUCUACCUUCGGUGCAGUUGCCGCUGCCUGUUAUUUCUGUGUUAACAGCAGAAUGGAGACGCUCAGGGGAUCCUGCCUGCGCCCACAACCUGCCCAUCACGACCAUUUUUAUCCAUGAUAGUUGUUGCCCUGUGGAAAUGUUUUGAUUGUAUGUGUAUUCACACAAACUAGGAUGACACAUAAAGGCUUGUUUGUGUCUUGUCAGUUCUUUGCUGACAGCAAAUUCCCUCAUCCUCAGGGUAUUUAACAUCACCGGGUAUUAAAAAGUUGCUUUUUGCUGAAGAUCACCUCUACAGCUGGAUAAAAAAAGAAUCUCAGCUACAGAAAUCCUCUUUCUAGUUUCCAAAGAUUAAUUAAUAUAAACUGGUCCUAACAAGAUUUACACAUCAGGUCUGCAGGGUUACCAAGAUUAACACCUUGCAGAAGACAUUUCUUCCAUAUAUUCACAUAACUUUCACUUGAAAUAAAUCAACAUGCAGAAAAGCUUAA